CAGCUCUUGGCAAAUAGGAAGCACUUAAUAAACAUCGAUCGGCAUCCUGGUGGGGUAGAGCUUGGCAGCCCCUUCCAGGAAGACUGUGGCAUCACCUCACCCUCACCCACUCCCUUGUCACCGCUCUCUGGCUCCCAGCUGGCAGUCCAGGAAGGAGGAACAGGAUGCAAAGUACAUUCCUCUGAGCGAGCCGGCAUUCUGCACUCUGCCCCACCCCCAACCUCGGGCUAGAGAACAUUAGGUAGCCACGGAAAGAGAGAACGAGGAUGAGGAAGGUCACGGCCGCCACGGACUCCAUUCUACCGGGCGGGCUCGCCACGGGGACGCCAGGGAAAUUUGCAACCGAAGACCGGGCCCUGUCAGGGUCUCAGGAGGAGUCCUCUCUUCUGGGAUCUUCCCAUUCUCCUUUCGCCUCCACGAGCAGGAAAUGUUUCCCGAAGGUGCUGGCAGGUUAGCGGCCGUCAUCCUAGAGAAAAAGAACGCUUUAUUCUGUAAGGUCCUCCUGCCAGCAAGAAAACGUGAAAGACUUGCUCACUCCUCCAUCCCCUAAUUGAGAAUAUUCAGAUCUUGCGGGAGGGGCAUUGGAGAGUCGAGGCAACAGAUCUUUUAUUCAUCAUCGCCGGUGGGCCGGAGACAGAUUACAUUUUGACCCAAGAA